GUUUUUCUGGGGGAAUAUACCAGGAGACCAUAAUCAAGGUUUCUGGUAUUGCACUAAACACGAUGAAAAACAGGAGAGAACGGAGAGGGAUCAUGUUUUACCACAAUAUGCAAUUUAUGGGAGAGAUGAAGCGCUCAGGUGGAGAUGACUAGUGUCACGUGGUGUUUUAAGUGGAUACUCACAACGCUGGAACUCACAGCAAUAACAACAAGAGGUGAGAUUAAUAUUUACUCAGUGAACUUUGAGUAAAGCAUUGGGUGCUUCAUUAUGUGGAGGAGUCUCAUCCAAUCAGUUGAAGGUGACUGAAUGGAACUAUAGAUCGACCUCACAUAAAUGAGAGGGAAUUCUGCAACAGAUCAUCUUUGCCUUUGAACUGCAGCAUGGACUCCCCUCUGGGUCUCCUGCCUGCCAGCCCACCCUGCAGAGUGCAUUUGCCAGCCUCCACAAUCAGGUAAUUUAUCCUGUGCAUUAACAAGAGGAAGUCUAGAGCCAUGGAAACCAAGUCAGGAAACUUCUCUCUUAUUAUUAGGUCCACUGCAAAUCUAGUUGAGACUGCAAAUCGAGAGCUCUGUUCACUGGCUUUCGUCUCCUUUCCUCAACACAGUUUAGUCACCACCUCCGAGGAACUGUGUCCCGCAUUGGCAUUCCUUUGGCAGCUUCCACUUCUCUGUCCCCUUGAGCAAAGUUUUUCUCAGGGGAAGCCGAGCUCCAGACUAUUCAUUUGUCCUGAGGCAGCCACUUGAAACACAAUCAUUUUGUAUUUCUACGAUGUUUUGACCUUUUAUCCAAGUCAGCCCUAUAGAAUGGGCCAGGAGGUUGCUGCCACUGAAUAAGCCACUGUGAUUUUUAGCGUCAAGAAUUUUGCUGUUAACUAUGGCAGAAAAAUAGACAGAG
rnacentral:lncRNA from 1 species